UGUACAUCCACAACAUUCGGGACAUGAAGGUGCUGCAUACGAUCAGGGAGACGCCUCCAAACCCUGCAGGUUCCGCAGAUGAGACAGAUUUUAAAAGUAUUGAUCCCAAACCAAGCUGCCUUCCUACUGAUGCUGGUCAUGUGACCACAUAAACUCAUUGGUUUGAUCAACUUGCAAGUUUGAGGCCUGUGUGCGCUGUCAAUCAACAACGACAACUGCUACUUGGCGUACCCCGGGAGCGCGACCAUCGGAGAGGUGCAGGUCUUCGAUACCAUUAAUUUGAGAGCUGCAAACAUGAUUCCGGCUCACGACAGUCCUUUAGCGGCACUGGCCUUUGACGCAAGUGGAACUAAACUUGCCACGGCUUCGGAGAAGGGGACCGUGAUUAGGGUAUUUUCCAUUCCAGAAGGACAAAAACUCUUUGAGUUUCGGAGAGGAGUAAAGAGGUGUGUGAGCAUCUGCUCCCUGGCCUUCAGCAUGGACGGCAUGUUCCUCUCCGCCUCCAGCAACACUGAGACCGUGCACAUCUUCAAACUCGAGACUGUGAAAGAAAAGUGAGUUGCAAAUAUACGUUUCUUUAAAAAUGAUGCAAAACCCUUUGU
rnacentral:sRNA from 1 species